rnacentral:rRNA from 1 species
UACAAAGGGGGCUAGCGUUGUUCGGAAUCACUGGGCGUAAAGGGCGCGUAGGCGGCGUUUUAAGUCGGGGGUGAAAGCCUGUGGCUCAACCACAGAAUGGCCUUCGAUACUGGGACGCUUGAGUAUGGUAGAGGUUGGUGGAACUGCGAGUGUAGAGGUGAAAUUCGUAGAUAUUCGCAAGAACACCGGUGGCGAAGGCGGCCAACUGGACCAUUACUGACGCUGAGGCGCGAAAGCGUGGGGAGCAAACAGG